UUGAACGCUGGCGGCAUACUUUAUACAUGCAAGUCGAACGGUAACGCGGGGGCAACCCUGGCGACGAGUGGCGAACGGGUGAGUAAUACAUCGGAACGUGCCCAAUAGUGGGGGAUAGCCCGGCGAAAGCCGGAUUAAUACCGCAUACGCCCUACGGGGGAAAGCGGGGGACCGAAAGGCCUCGCGCUAAUGGAGCGGCCGAUGGCAGAUUAGCUUGUUGGUGGGGUAAAGGCUUACCAAGGCGACGAUCUGUAGAUGGUCUGAGAGGACGACCAGCCACACUGGGACUGAGACACGGCCCAGACUCCUACGGGAGGCAGCAGUAGGGAAUUUUGGACAAUGGGCGAAAGCCUGAUCCAGCAAUGCCGCGUGUGUGAUGAAGGCCUUCGGGUUGUAAAGCACUUUUGGUAGGAACGAAACGGUCCGUGCUAAUACCAUGGAUCAAUGACGGUACCUGCAGAAUAAGCACCGGCUAACUACGU
rnacentral:rRNA from 1 species